rnacentral:rRNA from 1 species
CAGUCGCCGCGGGAAUACAGAGGGUGCGAGCGUUAAUCGGAUUUACUGGGCGUAAAGCGUGCGUAGGCGGCUUUUUAAGUCGGAUGUGAAAUCCCUGAGCUUAACUUAGGAAUUGCAUUCGAUACUGGGAAGCUAGAGUAUGGGAGAGGAUGGUAGAAUUCCAGGUGUAGCGGUGAAAUGCGUAGAGAUCUGGAGGAAUACCUAUGGCGAAGGCAGCCAUCUGGCCUAAUACUGACGCUGAGGUACGAAAGCAUGGGGAGCAAACAGGAUUAGAUACCCCUGUAGUCCCUGUCUCUUAUAC